rnacentral:rRNA from 1 species
UACGUAGGGUGCGAGCGUUAAUCGGAAUUACUGGGCGUAAAGCGUGCGCAGGCGGUGAUGUAAGUCAGAUGUGAAAUCCCCGGGCUCAACCUGGGAACUGCAUUUGUGACUGCAUCGCUGGAGUGCGGCAGAGGGGGAUGGAAUUCCGCGUGUAGCGGUGAAAUGCGUAGAUAUGCGGAGGAACACCGAUGGCGAAGGCAAUCCCCUGGGCCUGCACUGACGCUCAUGCACGAAAGCGUGGGGAGCAAACAGG